UGGAGUCGUCCUUGAAAUACCACCCUUGUAGUUUUGAUGUUCUAACGUUGGUCCCUGAAUCGGGAUUACGGACAGUGCCUGGUGGGUAGUUUGACUGGGGCGGUCUCCUCCCAAAGAGUAACGGAGGAGCACGAAGGUGGGCUAAACACGGUUGGACAUCGUGUGGUUAGUGCAAUGGCAUAAGCCCGCUUGACUGCGAGAAUGACAAUUCGAGCAGGUGCGAAAGCAGGUCAUAGUGAUCCGGUGGUUCUGAAUGGAAGGGCCAUCGCUCAACGGAUAAAAGGUACUCCGGGGAUAACAGGCUGAUACCGCCCAAGAGUUCAUAUCGACGGCGGUGUUUGGCACCUCGAUGUCGGCUCAUCACAUCCUGGGGCUGAAGUCGGUCCCAAGGGUAUGGCUGUUCGCCAUUUAAAGUGGUACGCGAGCUGGGUUUAGAACGUCGUGAGACAGUUCGGUCCCUAUCUGCCGUGGGCGUUGGAAAAUUGAAAGGGGCUGCUCCUAGUACGAGAGGACCGGAGUGGACGAACCUCUGGUGUUCGGGUUGUCAUGCCAAUGGCAUUGCCCGGUAGCUAAGUUCGGAAUCGAUAACCGCUGAAAGCAUCUAAGCGGGAAGCGAGCCUUGAGAUGAGUUUUCCCUGGCACUAUAAGUGUCCUAAAGGGUUGUCGUAGACUACGACGUUGAUAGGCAGGG
rnacentral:rRNA from 1 species